CAUAACUCUAUUACAAGGCUUAUUUUAAUGAUUUUGUUCAGUGUUAAAGGGUUUUUCUGGGUUUAUGUGGGAGUAGCACAUUGACCGGGGAUGAUAACCCAUAAAUUCCUUUCUCAGUGUUGAAAGAUAACUGCCUCUUGUGGCUGUUGCCAGGAAGAACAUUGCCUGAGACACUUCUCCGUGGAGACAGG